AGUUUGAUCCUGGCUCAGGAUGAACGCUAGCUACAGGCUUAACACAUGCAAGUCGAGGGGAAACGACAUCGAAAGCUUGCUUUUGAUGGGCGUCGACCGGCGCACGGGUGAGUAACGCGUAUCCAACCUGCCCACCACUUGGGGAUAACCUUGCGAAAGUAAGACUAAUACCCAAUGAUAUCUCUAGAAGACAUCUGAAAGAGAUUAAAGAUUUAUCGGUGAUGGAUGGGGAUGCGUCUGAUUAGCUUGUUGGCGGGGUAACGGCCCACCAAGGCGACGAUCAGUAGGGGUUCUGAGAGGAAGGUCCCCCACAUUGGAACUGAGACACGGUCCAAACUCCUACGGGAGGCAGCAGUGAGGAAUAUUGGUCAAUGGGCGAGAGCCUGAACCAGCCAAGUAGCGUGCAGGAUGACGGCCCUAUGGGUUGUAAACUGCUUUUAUAAGGGAAUAAAGUGAGCCUCGUGAGGCUUUUUGCAUGUACCUUAUGAAUAAGGACCGGCUAAUUCCGUGCCAGCAGCCGCGGUAAUACGGAAGGUCCGGGCGUUAUCCGGAUUUAUUGGGUUUAAAGGGAGCGUAGGCCGGAGAUUAAGCGUGUUGUGAAAUGUAGACGCUCAACGUCUGCACUGCAGCGCGAACUGGUUUCCUUGAGUACGCACAAAGUGGGCGGAAUUCGUGGUGUAGCGGUGAAAUGCUUAGAUAUCACGAAGAACUCCGAUUGCGAAGGCAGCUCACUGGAGCGCAACUGACGCUGAAGCUCGAAAGUGCGGGUAUCGAACAGGAUUAGAUACCCUGGUAGUCCGCACGGUAAACGAUGGAUGCCCGCUGUUGGUCUGAAUAGGUCAGCGGCCAAGCGAAAGCAUUAAGCAUCCCACCUGGGGAGUACGCCGGCAACGGUGAAACUCAAAUGAAUUGACGG
rnacentral:rRNA from 1 species